UGCGUAAUUCUCAAGAGC
rnacentral:snRNA from 1 species